rnacentral:rRNA from 1 species
UAGCGGAGGAAAAGAAACCAACAGGGAUUGCCUUAGUAGCGGCGAGUGAAGCGGCAAAAGCUCAAAUUUGAAAUCUGGCACUUUCAGUGUCCGAGUUGUAAUUUGAAGAAGGUAUCUUUGGGUCUGGCUCUUGUCUAUGUUUCUUGGAACAGAACGUCACAGAGGGUGAGAAUCCCGUGCGAUGAGAUGUCCCAGACCUAUGUAAAGUUCCUUCGAAGAGUCGAGUUGUUUGGGAAUGCAGCUCUAAGUGGGUGGUAAAUUCCAUCUAAAGCUAAAUAUUGGCGAGAGACCGAUAGCGAACAAGUACAGUGAUGGAAAGAUGAAAAGAACUUUGAAAAGAGAGUGAAAAAGUACGUGAAAUUGUUGAAAGGGAAGGGCUUGAGAUCAGACUUGGUAUUUUGUAUGUUACUCUCUCGGGGGUGGCCUCUACAGUUUACCGGGCCAGCAUCAGUUUGAGCGGUAGGAUAAGUGCAAAGAAAUGUGGCACUGCUUCGGUAGUGUGUUAUAGUCUUUGUCGAUACUGCCAGCUUAGACUGAGGACUGCGGCUUCGGCCUAGGAUGUUGGCAUAAUGAUCUUAAGUCGCCCGUCUUG